UAACCGACCUCUGCUGUGACCCCUGGUAACUCUGACCUGUACUAUAGGACCUACGAGGUGUCUGACCAUCCUCAGAAGCAGGCAUAGAUGCAUGAACUGGUCCUCUACGCUGGAAGGAACCACCUCCUCUAUAGGACCCUCUACCUCCAGAUGAGGUACCUGAAAACUGACCAGAAGCAUGGGCCCUCUUAGGGUCCCCAAACUCUUCUCUCUCCAUCAACUCUGCCUCCUUGGCAGCACCCAUAAUGGACUGGAAUGAAGCACCCUCACGGGCGGGUCAAAACACUGCUGUACGAAUGGUAUAGUUCAGUCCUCGAACAAACCUGCGAAUUCGCUCUGUCUCAUCAGGAAGGACAGCCAUAGCAUGUCUGGAUAACUGGUAGAAACGAGUCUCAUAUUCAGCAACUGUAAGUCCCUCCUACCUCAAAUUCUCAAACCAUAAUCGGCUCUCUUCCUUCACACUCCAGGGGAUGAAACGGUCAUAAAAGGUACUAGCAAACUCAUCCCAAGUCAUCUGGGGUGACCCAACUGUCCUGGAACUCGUAUACACUCUCCACCACUCUCUGGCUAGUCCACGUAACUGUAGUGUAGUAUAACGAACUCCAUGAGUCUCAUCUAACCCUACUGCCUCCAACAACUCUCGGCACAUGGUCAAGAACUCAUGUUUAUCCUCAGUCUUCCCACCCUGAAAUUGUGGGGGGUCCAUUUUUCGGAACCUCUCAUAUUGGCGUUGCUCGUCAUCAGUCAACAUGAGCACCGGUGCAACUUGGGCUCCCCCUAUCUGUACUCCAUCCUCAUUCGCCCUAGGGCCCGUAGGUGGCUGGCCCAUCGGACCCUGAACAACUGGAAUUUGAUGUUUCCUUGGGGUCUGAGCUCCUGCUCUAGUCUGAGAACCCUUGGGUGUACCAUUCGCCCUCAUACUCUGAUUAAAUCCUUCAAGCGCAUCCAAUACUCGCAUCAAAGUAGCCUGAAGCAGUGGUGCAGUAGCAGGCUCUGGAGGGACUUGUUCCUCUCUAGCAUCAAUCUGUGGCUCAAAAGAAGUCUCUCUAGCACGACCUCUAGUUGGCGCCGCUCCUCGGGCACGACCUCUGCCUGCCGCCACACCUCUACUAUGGCCUCUAGCUCGGCCUCUAUCUCGACCCCUAGUUGGGGUCCCAACAUCAACCUCAGGGAGUGCCUCCAUUUCUCUACCUCUAGCCGUAGUUCUGGUCCUGGCCAUCUGUCAGAAAGGACACACGAAAAUUCAAUACAAACAUAACAAGCACGACACAAAGUGAAAGAACAAAGGGAAAAUUUCCUAAGAGUCCUCAUAGCCUCUCGAAGAUAAGUACAGACGUCUCCGUACCGAUCUGCAAGACUCUACUUAAACUUGGCUUGUAUACACGUGAGACCUAUGAACCUGGGGCUCUGAUACCUCAUAUUCAUUAGAAUACAAGGAAGUUGUUAACAAAAUACUUAUUGUUUUGAGAUCUUUCUUUUUCCUUUUUGCUACUUCAACUUGUUUGGAUCUCGGAUAUUGCUAUCGCUUUUCGUUGAUAUAAAACUCAUAUUAACUGGUUCUUACAUAUUAUAUCUUGUCAAAAUAAAUACAUGAAGUAUCCAGGUUAGUUCCCACUUUCUUUGAUAUAUUGGUUUAUUAUUUUGAAAUGUGUUCUUGUUCUAUUUGUUUGCUUUGUUGUAGCAAAACUAUAUAAUCAUGAUAUACCUCUCUAUAUAUUUGUAUAUUGGUUAUGUUUUCUUUAUGAUUUAGCAGGGUUUGAACUUCAAAGUUCAAGACACGAGGAGUUGCGAACGAAAGUUUAAGAUGUCAUUAUUUCGUUUACAUUUCGUAUUAUUUAUUCAUUUACCUUUUAUUUUAGUUUGUAAUAAUCUUGUGAAAACUAUACUCUACAUAAUAAUAAAUAUUUGGGGACUGUCUAAAGGGGUUUGGGGUAGAUAGGCCCUUCGGAAAUGAUAGAAAUCAACUCGAGCAGAAAAAUGACAAACUUUAUAUAUUUUGUCUUUUGAUUAAUAAGCCGGCGCUGAUCCGAAGAUGAUAAGAAUGUAGAUAUUUUUAUGUCCUUUCGACUUUUAAAUAUUUUUAUUUGUAUAUAUUUGGGGGUAGUUUAAUAUUUUUAAAAUUUAAUGA